UGGAACCGGUCCCGGGCGAAGGUGAGGAACCGGUCCCUUGGAUAAAGUAAAGAAGCGCUACCUAAAGACCCUAGCAGCCGUGCCACUUCUUGGAACCAGGAGACGGGAUUGAUGUAAAGGUCCACCGAC